UAGUUUUCAUUGGUCUGAAAUGGUAACUGACCGUUGCUGGUACUAACUUAUAUCCGCAGAGCAGAUUUACAAAAUAAUGCAGCACUUGUAUGAACUAAAAGCAAAUUAAUUAGCAAUCCUUUAAUCCUUGUCUUUAAAUAUUAGCAUCGUACAAACUCGAUCAAAAUUGGUUGCAAGGCGUUUAAAUUUAAAUCCGGUAAUGUCAUUAAUUACACGCAUAAUAUGAUAUUGAUAGAGAACUUUCCUCUCUGCACAUGAUACACUUUUAUAUAUGUAUGUAAGAGUUAGUGUGUCUUAUUUCCGUAUUGAAAUCCGCUGAGCUUGAGCAGAUGGAGUGGAGAAAUGCAGUGUUGUUGAGCAAGGAAAGUGGGGAAAGUAGAGGCGUAAUAAUAUUCCGAGUCCCGUUUGUUGGUGGGGGAAAAGCAGCCUCAAAUCCCUCCGACUCUUCUUCUUCUUUCUGGUGCGUAGAGAAUCUCCUUCUGUCUGUAGCCAAUCGCUUCUCUUUUUCGGUGCAAAAUCCCGUCUCCACUCCGAGUCUUGCAUUAUUGAUCACGGUGCACUUAGGGAAAGGAAGGCUUUCUUGAUCUCUCUGCUUUUGGUGACUUACAAUUUUCGUAAUUCCUUUAUCUCCUCGUAAUAUAAGCGUCUUUCAGUUUUAAAAGAAGUUGGCAGGAUUAAUUGGUCAUCAUGGGUUGAAUUUUUACAUAGGAUAGCUUCGUGUGGCGAGCACGAAUUGUACAUUUAGAUCCUCGUCCUUUCGACAUGUAUCGUGCAUUCAUUCACUAUAAAAAAUUAAGCAAUGUAGUCAUCAAUUAGUACACGAAUAAAUUAGGUAGGAAUUAUGUGAGAUUAGCAGACAAUAAAGUCGGGGUAUACAAGUCUUCCAUUUUGUAUCAAUGUAAUAUAUUUAUUAGUAUAAUAUAAAUGCAACCAAGUCUUCCAAUAAGAAACAAAUAUUAAGAUAACGACAAUAAUUAUACCAAAUAAGUAAGUGAAAAAUGUCUUCCAGCAACGACAAAGUAAACGGCGAUAGAUUAGGUGGUAGCGAUAUGGCAGACGAAGAAAUAGAUUUAAAGAAAGGUAUAGAUAUCCGCACAAAAGCCGAAGAGCUUUCUCCUUCACAAUCAUCCCUGAGCAUUUGCCAACCUAGAGAUGAGUAUAACUCUCAACUUGUUUUAGAGAAGGUUAUAAAGAGCAGUAUUGAAAUUGACGAGAAUAUUGUGAAAGAGAUAAUCAAACCAUCUAGAAGGAGACAUAAUAGUCGAUCGAAAAGCAGGUCUACAAAAAUUCAUGACAGGAAACACGAAAGAGGUCGUCGGCAUAAUACACAGUCUAAUCAUCUCCAAGAAGAGUGUAGAUUCAUAUUAAUUGCUGCGCCACCGGUAACUUGUUACUGCUGCUGUCACCGACGAAAGAGAAGAGCAAAAGAUAGUCACGAGUUUUCCUUGGCACAAGAGCAGAAGAACACAAGGGCCAAGGACGCGUUUGGGAUUAGGAAAGACUUUAUUCCAGGACAGUCAUUGGAGGGAAGGAACAACAUGCCCAAAGAAUUGCAGGAUAUUCCCGACACCGUGUCCACUGCUAUCCCUGUUCCCUCAGUAUCAAAAGAAAAGUCACCAGAGAGGGAAAAGGCAAAGAAAAGGAAAAAGUCACACAAACGGAGUAAGCGAUCGAGUUCCAGUGGAUCGUCCUCAUCGGAUGAAGAAUCUCGCCCUAAGAAGAGAAAGAAGGAAAAGAAGAAAAAAUCCAAAAAGUCCCAUCGCCACAAUAGGACAGAUUUGUCUUCCAAAAGAAGUCGCAAAAAUAGUGAAGCAGAGUCAGAAGAAAUUGAUGGAAACAGAAAUGUCACCAGAAAGUCGACCCCUGUAAUAUCUGCUCCUUCGUCAACUUGUUGUAUAUCGAUAGCUAGCAGUGAAAGCUCAAGUGAUUCUAAUCAUUCUCAAGCUAAGCAUUAUUCAGAGUCGGAGGAAGAUGUAAAUUCAAAAUACUCGUUAUCAGUUGUGGACUUUUCUGGACAUCAUAAAUAUUACCCCUCACUAUCUAAAACUUUGAAAACCAACGGAAAACAACUGUCUCCUGUUGAAGCAUUCCAAAGAGCAUGCAUCCCACUACUCGCAAGCGUAAUUGACCAAAGUAGUCCCACUUUUCAUGUUCCAGUCAAUGGAAACAAUACCAGUGUACUCAACCACGGAAAUCAUCAUCAUUCCGACCGAUCCAGAUCAAGUAGUUCAGACUCAAAUUACUCAUCAAGAUCUCAUUCCAGAAGGCUUACUACCCGACAUUCAAAAUCUCGAUCUGGGUCACGUGAAAAAUCAUGUUCCCAUUCUGUCGCGUCAUCUCACAGAUCCGUUCCAAGCAGAAAAUCUAGAUCCAAGUCACGUGACAAAAAAUCAAAAUCUCAAAGUCGUAGUGUCAGUUCUCAUUCCCGAUCGAGAUCCGUCUCAAGAAAUCGAAGCAUAUCUUCUAGAAGUCAUUCUGCUUCAAGUCAUUCAUCAAAACAGUCGUCAUCAAGGUCUCGUUCUCGCAAUAGUUCCAUUCGAUCAACAACGCCUCAAUCUCCAAAAUCAGAUGACCGAUCUCGAAAAUCUCGAUCUCCGUCAAUUCCAAGACGAAGGGGUUCUCCUUCUUUUAUGGAAAGACGACGUAUUACUAGAUCCAGUGAUAGUGAUUGAGUCAUGCUGUAUUCCAGACUUUUGUUGCUGCUAUCCCUGAUUAUUAUAUGUCCUUAUAUUUUCUGUUUUAUUAUUAUUUAAAAGUGUUAUACUUUCUAUUCCUAUUUUAAGUUGUCGUUUAAUGUAGUACUUCUUGUAGCAAUAUUGUUAUUAUAAUUUAAGCUUUUGUAUUAUUUAUAGACGGGAACAAUUAUUUUCAUAAAGUUCAACAUUGGUAAAAUAAAUAAGUUAAUUGUUUUUUUUUAUACUUUGGCAUGUAAGUUUUGUGCAUGAAUGAAUUAGCAAUGAUAUGAAUAUUCUUGAGCUAACGAGAAUUAUGUGCUUAUUAUUGUAUUGUUGAGUGGAUAUGAUUGAACACGUGGAGGAGAAGUUGAAAUAUUUUCCUGCUCACCGUCGUAAGUAUAACAUUGCUUUCGCGUAUUUCUAAACUUUCUUUCGACCCUGCAAGGGGCAGAGGGCGAAAACUGGGUCAAACAUAACUUUUAAAUGCCGAUUUUUUCUGAAUCUUUUCAUCUUACUCUUAUUUUUUUAACAGAGAGGAAAAGUUGAUUGGGUUAGCCCUAACUUUCACUUUGCUAGACUAAAAAAUUUAAGAACUCGAGGGUCGAGCAGAAACAGUUUUAUAUUUAUAGCGACGUCCAAAUUCUCCUCCAAGUGCACAAUCCGCCCUUAAUUGAGCUUUCGCUCGAAAGCGGCCUGUAAAAUAUAAUCGGAAAGACGCCGUGGAUUGGAACAUUUCAUCCUCCUCAGGUUCUGAUGACUAACAACAACAAUAACGCUUCUAGUCUUUUGAUUCUAUAUCUUUCUCCCUAAUGGACAUUAAUUAACGGUUGAUUUUUCUUCAGUAAAACAAUUUUAUUCUAACUCAGCAAUUGAAAACCUAGUCAAAUUUACGCCAUACAUUGUUUGCAUCUGUCAUUCUCCUAUAUUUGUGCAAACAGUCUAGCAUAGUAAAAUAUGAGACAAUUUACUCUGUCUUAUGUUCGAUCCUAGUCAUGUAUGUAUUUCGUUCUGAUGUUAUAUGCACGUACAUUCUUGAUGCUUCCAAAAUGAAAUAAAUAAACAUUUUCUGCA